CUGCACAUUUCCUGCGGAAUUUGUUAUAACCUUCAUACGUUACCUGCGAAUUUACAUGCCAGUUCUUCGUGGUUUCCUGCGGAUUUCCCUUGCCAUUUCCCAGCGUGUGCAUGCAUGUGGUUAGGGUUUGAGCCAAAACGACCGCGUUUGGUCUUGGCGCGCUUGACAUUCAAAUUGUGGCAUGCUUCGAUUCCUGACCAUGCUUCUUUUCAAAAUUGCCUUUGCACUUUAUUCAUUUUCUCCAUCC
rnacentral:lncRNA from 1 species